AAGAGGGGUGCUUCCCGCCCGGCGGCAGGAGGCUGAGAUUAUACCCUGAUGAACCUGAUACGGAUAAUGCCGUCGUAGGGACUUUAUUAUG
rnacentral:ncRNA from 1 species